rnacentral:rRNA from 1 species
UGCUUAACACAUGCAAGUCGAACGGCAGCAUAAUCUAGCUUGCUAGAUUGAUGGCGAGUGGCGAACGGGUGAGUAACGCGUAGGAAUAUGCCUUGAAGUGGGGGACAACUUGGGGAAACUCAAGCUAAUACCGCAUAAUGUCUAAGGACGAAAGCUGGGGACCUUCGGGCCUGGCGCUUUAAGAUUAGCCUGCGUCCGAUUAGCUAGUUGGUGGGGUAAGGGCCUACCAAGGCGACGAUCGGUAGCUGGUCUGAGAGGAUGGCCAGCCACACUGGAACUGAGACACGGUCCAGACUCCUACGGGAGGCAGCAGUGGGGAAUAUUGGACAAUGGGGGGAACCCUGAUCCAGCAAUGCCGCGUGUGUGAAGAAGGCCUGAGGGUUGUAAAGCACUUUCAGUGGGGAGGAGGGUUGAUUGGUUAAGAGCUGAUUAACUGGACGUUACCCACAGAAGAAGCACCGGCUAACUCCGUGCCAGCAGCCGCGGUAAUACGGAGGGUGCAAGCGUUAAUCGGAAUUACUGGG